AGCAGCCGCGGUAAUUCCAGCUCCAAUAGCGUAUAUUAGUGUUGUUGCGGUUAAAAAGCCGUAGUUGAAUUUCGGAAUUGGGAUACAUCGGUCGCGCCUUUUGGGGCAUGAAUCGGUGGUGGUUAAUUCUCACCUUCUGGUGAAUCGGGAUGCUCUCGGGUGUUUCGAUGAACUAGGCCUUUACUUUGAAAAAAUUAGAGUGUUUAAAGCGGGCAUUUUUGCUUGAAUAC
rnacentral:rRNA from 1 species